CAAAAAUGAAAAAAUAAAAAAAACGACUUGUUUUUUUUUUUAAAAAUCUGUUUCCAAAACCAAAAUGAAAAACGGAUAAUGCUUUGUUUUCCGAUAUUCAUUUGUGUGCUAAUAUCAAAAAUCAAAAAUCUAAAAAACGGAUAACGAGCGUGUGCGUUUCACUUUGGUGUUUUCGUCUGAUGCCAGUGACGUCAACCGGAAGUGAUCGUUACCCGCGGAAUACAAAAAACAUCUCGGUUACCGAGCGAGUAGAUUAGAGCAGAAUGGCCGGGUUGGAAGAAUUUGCACACAUAGUAAGACAGCUUUUUGAGAGUGAAAAAAAAACUCAUGCCGAGAGUUCCGCACUGCAGUCACGCUAUCUGCGCUUCAAGUUCAUCGCGCGUCUACUCGGCGUUGCGUAAUAGAUUAAGGUGCGAGCGUGUUAAAGACGCUACCGUCUUCUUCUUUAGUAAAUCCUCCUUCGGUUAUCAUAUUUUAUUCAUAUUCGUAUUCAUAUUCACGGCCUUCUAUUUAAGUUUUCACCAUUUAUUUUACUAUAAUUAUGUGUUUUUAUUUAUUUAUGUAUUUUUGGAUUCAAAGCUGUAUACUUUUUUUUUUAUGUGGAAUGCUGCUAAAUUAAUGCAUAAUUUGGAUUAUGUUUUGUACAGCUGUCUUUCUACUUACAGUUGACAUUAUUCUAAAUCAGUUGGAUCCAUGGAUUUUUAAGAAUGACGGAAUUCAUUCACGUUUUAAGUGUUAUAAGUGCAUGUUAUCAUUCAAUAUGUACCUGCUAUUGUAUGGUGUAUCGUGCUUAUUUGGACAAAAUCAACAUAAAAUGUUGAAAGCAAGAGACAUAGGAGAGCAUCAUUCUUUUGAGAUUUAUAACUCAAGCUAACUUUGGAGUUAAGGACACAGAAGUCUCCUUGUAUGAGGAGGAGGGGUUUUUCUCAGCUUCUUCAGAAGAGAGGGGAAAGACAGUUUAAGAUGUUGAAAGCCAGAGACAUAGAACUCAAACCAACUUUGGAGUUGUCUGAUUUGGCGAGUCAUCAUUCUUGGUCUUCCGUCUUAAAGGAUAGGUUCACACAAAAAAAUCAUUUACUUGCCCUCAUGUCAUUCCAAACCUAUACGACUUUUGUAUAUCUUUAGAAUACAAAUGAAUAUAUUUUGAAUUUUCUCAAAUUUUUGUUAAUCCAUUGAGAGUCUAUAUAAUCAGUAUUUUCAAGCCUCAUAAAUACAGAGUUAUUGUAGAAGUAAUCCAUUCCGAUAUUUAUAUAUGAAUAAAUCUUAAAUUAUAUGAUAGCAAACACGUAUGUUCAAAAUAAAACAUUUUUUGGUGGACUAACCCUUAGCGGCCCUCCACGUACAUGAACAUUUGUGAGGUAUGUGAAUGUCAUGUCUGAUUUAAUGUUUCAGUAAAGAAGUAGCUUUCUGAAAGCAAUAUAUUUAUUCAAACAAUAUCACAUGCCCUCCUCUUGUGCUGCCAUUAUAGCAUUCUAGAGCGCUGUGGUAGACCGAGACAUUAAACAACCACACAAAGUGUUGAAAUUAUAAAACUGAUUAUUUACCUCUCCUUACUGAUGUGAAUACACCUCUAUCUGAAAAUGGAUAGUAUAAGUAAAUGUUUUCUAUUUUCAAAUGUGUUUCUCUUUUUAGGCCACUGAUGAAGAACAGGCGGUGACUGGGAUGAAUGCUGGUCAAAGAGGAGAAUGUCCUUUCCCCUAAACUGAUGCAACAGUGAUUUUAAAGGAGGACACUGCCCUGGAUGAUGUAGAAGAUGUCACAUGCUGUGCUGAUGGGGCUUCUUCAUGACUACAUCAAUUAUGCUAAAGAGAUCAUGAAAGUUGACAGUGAUGCAUGAUCUGUAUGCAUGGACUAUGAAACAAACUGUAAGUGUAUACUUUGUAAAAACAAUGUUAAAUGCUUGUUCUGUGUUGUUUAGUUAAAGAGUUUACACUCUGUCAUUCAUACACAUGCUCACAUUCUUUCACACACACACAUCUGUUAAAUGUUAUAAUAUCAGUGUUAAUGUUGUGGUUUAUUUGUGUACUGUCAUGCUAGAAUAGUUGGUAAAGAACUUAACUAAUUGUACAUUUAUUGUAUAAUAGUGUGUUCAUAUAUUUUUAUACAACAUAUAAAAUUUAACAAAGUCUAAUUUGAUCUUAAAAGUUAUAUACAACAAAUGUUCAAUGCUUUAUUUAUGGACUUUGUAGCUGUUAAUGCCAUACUUUUCUGCAUUUCUUCUUACAUGCAUGUUACUUUUUGACUUUUCUCUUGUUUUUAAUAAAUACCUUUUGAUAGUUAUUAUUUGUGUGUAAAAGUGAUUUUUAAAAUGAACAAAAUUUGUAGGUUUAAUGCCUAGCUCAAUUUGGG
ensembl:lncRNA